rnacentral:sRNA from 1 species
GGGUUUAAAGAGAGGACAACAGGGAAAGGGCUAA